GGAUUGAACGCUGGCGGCAGGCCUAACACAUGCAAGUCGAGCGGUAGAGAGGUGCUUGCAUCUCUUGAGAGCGGCGGACGGGUGAGUAAUGCCUAGGAAUCUGCCUAGUGGUGGGGGGUAACGUUCGGAAACGGACGCUAAUACCGCAUACGUCCUACGGGAGAAAGCGGGGGACCUUCGGGCCUCGCGCCAUUAGAUGAGCCGUAGGUCGGAUUAGCUAGUUGGUGAGGUAAUGGCUCACCAAGGCGACGAUCCGUAACUGGUCUGAGAGGAUGAUCAGUCACACUGGAACUGGGACACGGUCCAGA
rnacentral:rRNA from 1 species